UUUGGAUAUUCCUCUCAGUUGAUAAUGUUAACUUUUUUUUGUGGACAUUACCAUCUGUAUUCUUAAAGACACAUUUAGAUGUUACCUCCAGAAAAUAUAUCCAGAAAAUAAAUGUAAUUGUCUUGAAAUUCAGUGGUAAAUUUUAAAUUGUGAUUAUUUGAAAUAAGCCUUUGAAAGGCUUUUUAAGGCAGGAGGCCACAGGCUGCUCACUGUUUAGUAGAUAUGUAGGGGCAUUACGUAAGGAAUAAUUGACGACAGGCCAUUGAAUUAUUAGAAAAAUAAUGCACACCCGAGGUGGUAAUGCGGUCACGAUGCGAAGCGGAGUGGCCGUUACACCUUGGGUGUGCAUUAUUUUUUCUAAUAAUUCAACAGCCUGGAGUCAAUUAUUCCGCUUAUUCUACAGUUACCACACCUCAAAACAUUGUUCAGAUGAUGAAUUUCUAAACGUUUUCAAGUUUUUGUCAUUAAAACGCUCUUGUAUGUAGGACUAAUUUCUUACACAACUAUAAUGCGGUCAAGACCUGUCUGGAGCUACUUUAGCCGUGCGUCUCCCUGAAAAUAAUGCACACCUUAGAACAUUCGUCAACCAAUCUGAUUGAAGCAUUCAACGGCCCUGUAGUAUAAGGAGAUUUUAAUCUCCCUUUUGUUAGUGGGGGGGGGAUUUUUAGGAAGUGGCAAGGAGCACUGCUUUUUAAAAUAUUACAAGGAAGGAACCACAAGCCGGUACCUCUACUCUUGUAAUAAACUGAACAAAAAAAGACCGAAUUAAAAUUAGUUUUUCGUUUAUUCUUUGUAAUCUUCAUUCAUUCAUCUUUCUGAAUGUAAAAAGGUUAUUUGGAACUCAACCACAAGUGAAGGAAGAAAUUCGAUACUGUCACUUUAAGAAAAUAAUAUUAAUUGAAAUAAAGCAAUUUUGCUUUGGCAAUCUUCUGUUAUAAGAUUCUAAAAUGAUAAUGCAUGAGCAAAGAUAAUCUUGCAGGUAAUUGCUUUAAUCUAACGAACGUUUGGCAAAAUUAAAUUAAAAAAGGCAAAAAUAACUCAAACCUAAUUCUACUUGGAAAAUGUACAGUCGUUUAGGUUCUAGGAAAAAAUAAUUGAAGAAUAGGUCUCUUUAGGAGAUGAGUAGCUGAAUCCCAGAGGGCAGACAUUCAAAAUAACUUCAGAUGCGAACCAAUUAAUAAUCCCAAGAACUGGAGAACUUAUUUUGCUUACUGCGAAUGAUGGGCAUUGAAGUCCUUUCCAGAAUAGAUGAGGGUUAUGGUUCCUUGAAGUAAGUAGAGGAAUAGAGGAAGUGGUGAUGUCCAUGGGCGUCCGCAGGACUUUUUCCAUGA